GGGGGUAACAUAAUAAGGUUGAACCUUAUUAUAUAUGCUAUAUAAUAGCAUAUAAAAUUGCUAUUUCUGAAAGUCAGAAAUUAUCAUAUAUUGGAAAGCUUUAAAAAAAUCUUUAUUCUUUCAAUUUAAAAUAAUGAAUCAAGUGCCUGCUAUGUGUUAGAUAUUAUAUUACAUCUUAGGAAUUCAAAGUGGUACCAUUCACAUCCUCAAAAAUUCCCAACUCUUAGAAUAAUAGGUACAAGAUUUCCUUUUGGGGUGAUGAAGUGUUCUAAAACUAGAUAGUGGUGAUGGUUGCAAAACAUUGUAAGCAUACUGAAGACCACUGAAUUGUACGUUUUGUAAGGGUGAAUUUCAUGGUGUGUGAAUUAUAUCUCAAUAAAUCUGUUAUUAAAAAAAUGAGAGACAUUUCAUUAAAAAUAUAUGUUCACCAUAUAAAGAAAGAGAGGACCUGAUAGUAUAUGCAGCUUAUUAUCAAAAGGAGACACAUUUUGCCUUGAGAAGGGUUUCAGUAAUGUUGUUUUUAAUCUAUUUCCAUUUUAAGUAUAGUGUACUUCACUCUUAUUCUGCUCAGCAUUUGUGAUUGAAUUUGACUCUCAAAUUAUUCAAAAAGCUGUGUUGAGUUUUAAAAGGCAGUGGAAGCAAUGGGAAAAAGCAGAUAUAGCUCAAAGGUUGUAGAGUUGUACUGAUGCUGAAAAAUCAAUAAGAUUAACCCAGAAAUUGGCUCAAUAAGAAACCAGGGACUCCCAAAGGGGGUUUUACAAUUCAGAAACAGGAAAAAAUUAGAAAGUGGUUUAUUUGCAAUUUACAUGGAUUCCUCUACUUUGUGAGGUUUAGU
rnacentral:lncRNA from 10 species